AUUGAACGCUGGCGGCAUGCUUUACACAUGCAAGUCGAACGGUAACAGGCCGCAAGGUGCUGACGAGUGGCGAACGGGUGAGUAAUGCAUCGGAACGUGCCCAGUCGUGGGGGAUAACUACUCGAAAGAGUAGCUAAUACCGCAUGCGAUCUAUGGAUGAAAGCGGGGGACCGUAAGGCCUCGCGCGAUUGGAGCGGCCGAUGUCAGAUUAGGUAGUUGGUGGGGUAAAGGCUCACCAAGCCAACGAUCUGUAGCUGGUCUGAGAGGACGACCAGCCACACUGGGACUGAGACACGGCCCAGACUCCUACGGGAGGCAGUAGUGGGGAAUUUUGGACAAUGGGCGCAAGCCUGAUCCAGCAAUGCCGCGUGCAGGAAGAAGGCCUUCGGGUUGUAAACUGCUUUUGUACGGAACGAAACGGCUCUGGUUAAUACCCGGGGCUAAUGACGGUACCGUAAGAAUAAGCACCGGCUAACUACGUG
rnacentral:rRNA from 1 species